rnacentral:rRNA from 1 species
CCCCUUUGAACAGUCGAGUAUUUUGGGAAUGCUGCUCAAACGGGAGGUAAAUUCCUUCUAAGGCUAAAUACCGGCCGGAGACCGAUAGCGCACAAGUAGAGUGAUCGAAAGAUGAAAAGCACUUUGGAAAGAGAGUUAAAAAGCACGUGAAAUUGUUGAAAGGGAAGCGCCCGCGGCCAGACUCGCCCGCCACGGAUCACCCGGCGUUCUCGCCGGGGCACUCCGCGGCGGGCGGGCCAGCGUCGGCCCGCGCGGGGGGACAAAGGCCCCGGGAACGUGGCUCCCCCGGGAGUGUUACAGCCCGCCGCCCAAUGCCCCCUCGCGGGCCGAGGACCGCGCCCUGCGCAAGGACGCUGGCUUAAUGGCCGCCGGCG